CCUACGGGUGGCAGCAGUGAGGAAUAUUGGUCAAUGGGCGGAAGCCUGAACCAGCCAAGUAGCGUGCGGGAUGAAGGCCCUACGGGUCGUAAAUCUCUUUUGCACGGGGAUAACACCCUCCACUUGCGGAGGUCUGCAGGUACCGCUCGAUUAAGGGCCGGCUAAUUCUGUGCCAGCAGCCGCGGUAAUACGGAAGGCCCGAGCGUUAUCCGGUUUUAUUGGGGUUAAAGGGUGCGCAGGGGGUCUGUUAAGCCUGCGGUCAAAGCCCAGGAGUAAACCCGGGACCGCCGUUGAAACUGGCAGUCUCGAGUUGGAGAGAAGUAUGCGGAAUGCGUGGUGUAGCGGUGAAAUGCAUAGAUAUCACGCAGAACUCCGAUUGCGAAGGCAGCAUGCCGGCUCCACACUGACGCUGAGGAACGAAAGCGUGGGUAUCGAACAGGAUUAGAUACCCCUGUAGUC
rnacentral:rRNA from 1 species